rnacentral:rRNA from 1 species
CACGGCCUAACACAUGCAAGUCGAACGGUAACAGGAAGCAGCAAGCUGCUUCGCUGACGAGUGGCGGACGGGUGAGUAAUGUCUGGGAAACUGCCUGAUGGAGGGGGAUAACUACUGGAAACGGUAGCUAAUACCGCAUAAUGUCGCAAGACCAAAGAGGGGGACCUUCGGGCCUCAUGCCAUCAGAUGUGCCCAGAUGGGAUUAGCUAGUAGGUGGGGUAACGGCUCACCUAGGCGACGAUCCCUAGCUGGUCUGAGAGGAUGACCAGCCACACUGGAACUGAGACACGGUCCAGACUCCUACGGGAGGCAGCAGUGGGGAAUAUUGCACAAUGGGCGCAAGCCUGAUGCAGCCAUGCCGCGUGUAUGAAGAAGGCCUUCGGGUUGUAAAGUACUUUCAGCGGGGAGGAAGGCGAUAAGGUUAAUAACCUUGUCGAUUGACGUUACCCGCAGAAGAAGCACCGGCUAACUCCGUGCCAGCAGCCGCGGUAAU